GACGUAGGGCGCGAGCGUUGUCCGGAUUUAUUGGGCGUAAAGAGCUCGUAGGCGGCUUGUCGCGUCAACUGUGAAAACCCGUGGCUCAACCAUGUGGUCUGCAGUCGAUACGGGCAGGCUAGAGGCAGGUAGGGGAGAAUGGAAUUCCCGGUGUAGCGGUGAAAUGCGCAGAUAUCGGGAGGAACACCGGUGGCGAAGGCGGUUCUCUGGGCCUUACCUGACGCUGAGGAGCGAAAGCGUGGGGAGCGAACAGG
rnacentral:rRNA from 1 species